rnacentral:ncRNA from 1 species
ACAGUACAAACUGAGCAGGCGAUGAACCGAAGGGUCAUGGGGCCGGGCCGCCUUGUGUGGCAGCAGAUGGUUUUUGAAACAUCUGUGGGACAGU